rnacentral:rRNA from 1 species
AUUGAACGCUGGCGGCAGGCCUAACACAUGCAAGUCGAACGAGUGGCGGACGGGUGAGUAAUGUCUGGGAAACUGCCCGAUGGCGGGGGAUAACUACUGGAAACGGUAGCUAAUACCGCAUACCAUCGGAUGUGCCCAGGUGGGAUUAGCUAGUAGGUGGGGUAACGGCUCACCUAGGCGACGAUCCCUAGCUGGUCUGAGAGGAUGACGGUGCACACUGGAACUGAGAGACAGGUUAGACUCAUACGGGUGGCAGAAGGGGCGAAUAUGGGACAAUGGGCGGAAGCCGGAUGCAGCCAUGCCGCGUAGAUGAAGAAGGCCUUCGGGCUGUAGAUUACUUUCAGCGAGGAGGCGGUACUCGCAGAAGAAGCACCUGCUCACUCCGUGCCAGCAGCCGCGGUAAUUC